rnacentral:tRNA from 1 species
GAUACCACACCGGCAGAACGGAUUACGUUGAUGACGUAAAAUAGUAUAUAAUAAUAUAAGGUAUUG